UAACAGUGGUAUCCUGGAGCCAGCUUGCACAGGCUAAGAAGAGCCAAUUGUGAGCAUCUCUUCGCAACUCUGCAAUCAGUGACAUCACAUUGAUAGACUGAAAUCAGCUGUCAUGGGAAUAUGUUCAACAAGCUGUCAGAGACCAACAUGACUACCACAAAGACCCAGGAGCUUGAAACAAUGGAAGCAGAAGCAGGCCUUCAAAGACCACUCAACUCAUGUGGUUUCAGUAGGAAAGCUGGAUUGUGAGCCACGCUCCUCCUCCAUUCAACUGGCUUCAUAAUAACUUCAGCAGAAUGGAGUCCAUGGAGACUGUGCAAAUUCAGGUAACAAAGAAUCCUUUACUUCCGUCCGGGCUUUUCCCCGAACAGAUAGUGCAACA